CCUACGGGUGGCAUCAGUGAGGAAUAUUGGUCAAUGGACGAGAGUCUGAACCAGCCAAGUAGCGUGAAGGAUGACUGCCCUAUGGGUUGUAAACUUCUUUUAUAUGGGAAUAAACUGUUCCACGUGUGGGCUUUUGUAUGUACCCUAUGUAUAAGGAUCGGCUAACGCCGUGCCAGCAGCCUCGGUAAUAAUGAGGUACCGAGAGUUAUCCGUAUUUAUUGGGUUUAAAGGGAGCGUAGGUGGAUUGUUAAGUCAGUUGUGAAAGUUUGCGGGUCAACCGUAAAAUUGCAGUUGAAACUGGCAGUCUUGAGUACAGUAGAGGGAGGCGGAAUUCGUGGUGUAGCGGUGAAAUGCUUAGAUAUCACGAAGAACUCCGAUUGCGAAGGCAGCUCACUGGACUGCAACUGACACUGAGGCUCGAAAGUGUGGGUAUCAAACAGGAUUAGAUACCCCAGUAGUC
rnacentral:rRNA from 1 species